ensembl:lncRNA
CUUAAUGUGGGGAGUGAAUGUGCUGUUAAUUUAGGAAAUGCCAACUGAGGCUGAGGCUUUAGCAAGCCAAGCAAAACAGAACACUGACCACAGAUUGAAACAUUACAGAGUUCCUUAAUGGUUCUGUCAGAAAGAAAUAUAACACUUUUUUUUCCUCCCCCUACAGAAGUUGCAAUAAUCUGCUGGUGGAAGUAGCAACCAGUAGGAUUUAGCAUUGGUAAACAAGGAUGGAAAAGACAAGCACUUGACUUCACUUUUGGUUGAUGCUUUUUCCUGAAUGCAUCUUUGAGUUUGAUGAUAGCAAGAUUUUUUGUUCUAUUCCUCACUGUUAUUGUUACCUGACAAAUUAUUGCCGCUACAGCAACUUUCCCAUGCACUGAGUGGUUCUAGGGGUGAAUGCUGCAAAGGAGCCAAAGACCAUGAGGAGGACUCUGAACUCUUAACUUCAUCUUCCAAUUUCAAAAAGCUGGACAAAUGGCAAUGGAAAAGGAGCCCAGAAAACAAUUUGUUUAUUAUAAGCAGGUCAGUCCUCCGGGGAAUUCGUGGAAUCAUGCAGUGGGAGAGGACAAUCACGGCACUGAAAUGGGUCUGGAGGAUCUGACAUUAAGAAACAUGGCAAUGACCAACAGAAAGAAGAAAGUACAACUGCUCCUGGGAUUUUCAAUCUUCUCAUUGAUAGAUCUUAUUAAAGAAUGCCUAAGAAUUUAUAUAUAUAUAUAUAUAUAUAUAUAUAUAUUUCCACAACAAAAUAUAAUAGUACUUGUUGCAUUAGAAAUAUGUCAAGAACACUUUGGGGAUGCAUCAAACUAUAUUUCAGAAAUAAGUGUCCAAAUGUUGAUUUUUUAAUUUUUUUUUUUUUUUUUUUUUGAGUGAUACACUGUAUUUAUUAUUAGGACAAAAUCUGUCACGCAGAAAAGAUUUUUUAGCCCUUAGGUGUACUCAUGAAUGUGCAAAAACUACUUCAACAGUGGAGAGCCUCAGCAAAUUGUUGUAAACACGUGUCCUUGCAUGUAGAUCUUCAUGUAUGUACAGGUAUAGAUUGAUAAAGAUAUAUUGAAGUAAAUGUUUCAAGGGAAAACAAUUCAAGACUUUAUGAAACUUAAAUAAACCUCAGUUGG